rnacentral:rRNA from 1 species
AUUGAACGCUGGCGGCAGGCCUAACACAUGCAAGUCGAGCGAGCGGCGGACGGGUGAGUAAUGUCUGGGAAACUGCCUGAUGGAGGGGGAUCAAUACUGGAAACGGUAGCUAAUACCGCAUACCCUCCGAUGUGCCCAGCUGGGAUUAGCUAGUAGGUGGGGUAAUGGCUCACCUAGGCGCCGAUCCCUAGCUGGUCGGAGAGGCGGACCAGCCACACGGGAACUGAGACACGGUCCAGACUCUUACGGGAGGAAGCAUGGGGAAAUAUCGCAAAAUGGGCGCAAGCCUGAUGCAGCAAUGCCGCGUGUGUGAAGAAGGCCUUGGGGUGGUAAAGCACGUUCAGCGAGGAGGCGGUACUCGCAGAAGAAGCACCGGCUAACUCCGUGCCAGCAGCCGCGGUAAUUC